AACGAACGCUGGCGGCAGGCCUAACACAUGCAAGUCGAGCGGACAUCUUCGGAUGUUAGCGGCGGAAGGGUGAGUAACGCGUGGGAACGUGCCCUUUGCUUCGGAAUAGCCUCGGGAAACUGGGAGUAAUACCGGAUGUACCCUUUGGGGGAAAGAUUUAUCGGCAAAGGAUCGGCCCGCGUUGGAUUAGGUAGUUGGUGGGGUAAUGGCCUACCAAGCCGACGAUCCAUAGCUGGUUUGAGAGGAUGAUCAGCCACACUGGGACUGAGACACGGCCCAGACUCCUACGGGAGGCAGCAGUGGGGAAUCUUAGAAAAUGGGGGAAACCCUGAUCUAGCCAUGCCGCGUGAGCGAUGAAGGCCUUAGGGUUGUAAAGCUCUUUCACCGGGGAAGAUAAUGACGGUACCCGGAGAAGAAGCCCCGGCUAACUCCGUG
rnacentral:rRNA from 1 species